rnacentral:rRNA from 1 species
UCGAGAAUCUUCGGCAAUGGGCGCAAGCCUGACCGAGCGACGCCGCGUGGAGGAUGAAGGCCUUCGGGUUGUAAACUCCUGUCGAGGGGGAAGAAGGGUCGAAAGACCUUGACUGAUCCCUGGAGGAAGCACGGGCUAAGUUCGUGCCAGCAGCCGCGGUAAGACGAACCGUGCGAACGUUAUUCGGAAUCACUGGGCUUAAAGCGCGUGUAGGCGGGACGGUACGUCGACUGCUGAAAUCCCUCGGCUUAACCGAGGAACGGGCAUCGAUACGGCCAUCCUGGAGGAACGUAGGGGGACCUGGAACUUCCGGUGGAGCGGUGAAAUGCGUUGAGAUCGGAAGGAACGCCCGUGGCGAAAGCGAGGUCCUGGACGUUUUCUGACGCUGAGACGCGAAAGCUAGGGGAGCGAACGGG